AGGAUGGGACUGCGACUGAUCAGGCUGUUGGCGGGGUAAUGGCCCACCAAACCAAUAACCAGUACGGGCCUUGAGAGAGGGGGCCCGGAGAUGGUCACUGAGAGAAGGGUCCAGGUUCUGCGGGGCGCAGCAGGCGCGAAACUUCGCAAUGCGCGAAAGCGUGACGAGGUUAAUCCGAGUGGUUCCCGCUGAGGGAAUCUUUUGUCGGCUCUAAAAAGGGCGGCGAAUAAGGGGAGGGCAAGUCUGGUGUCACCCGCCGCGGUAAUACCCGCUCCUCGAGAGGGCGGGGCGAUUAUUGGG
rnacentral:rRNA from 1 species